GAGUUUGAUCCUGGCUCAGAUUGAACGCUGGCGGAAUGCUUUACACAUGCAAGUCGAGCGGCAGCGCGGGGCAACCUGGCGGCGAGCGGCGAACGGGUGAGUAACAUAUCGGAACGUGUCCUUGGGUGGGGGAUAACUACUCGAAAGAGUAGCUAAUACCGCAUACGAUCGGGAGAUGAAAGCGGGGGAUCGCAAGACCUCGCGCCCAAGGAGUGGCCGAUAUCAGAUUAGCUUGUUGGUGGGGUAAAGGCUCACCAAGGCGACGAUCUGUAGCUGGUCUGAGAGGAUGAUCAGCCACACUGGGACUGAGACACGGCCCA
rnacentral:rRNA from 1 species